ACCGAAACUGCGCUCACAGCUAUUGCCUGCACUCUCUCUGUUGAUGAAACACAUCCCAGAGCAGCUCUCAACACUGAGUGAGCAGGAGAACAUCUUUAUUAUCACACCGAGAGAGAAAUGCUGUAAGCCUGCGAAGGAGAUUACCGCCAUUAACAAUGCCUCCUUCUUGCCUGUAAGUUGAGUUCAGCUAAACAUAAUAAAUAAUAACAUUAUAGAAUUUCUUAUCUUGCUGACCUACAUAAAUCUGUCUGCUAUGCUGCUUUUCCGGAAGGAGGGAACCUACAACUCACGAGAAACCUUGGCGAGUGGGGGACAUCACCUAGGGAGCCUGCACUGAAGAAGGAGAUUUUGGAAGUCCAGAGGGACUCAGGCCAAGACUUAUCUCAAAGGGAGCAGUUGGAAAGAAAGAAGAGGCCACGUACAACUUGUUGACUGAACCAAAUGGAAUUUUCCAGGCGAUCACAAGCAGUACAGAUAGGCUGGCUAUACAAACGCACCAGCUCCUCUUCCACGUAGUUGAGCACGUACACUGCUGCUCAAUAUUAGUGAAGUGGAACUCAAAAAGCAAACAUCAUAAACUUUUCGUGUCCUUCAAAAUUUCUAUGUUCAAUUCUGAUGCAGCAGCGUACCUGGCAUGAGUACACUCGGCAAGAUUUAUAUCGGCCAGCCCAAGGAGCCUCUGCUGACAACAUCCGAAACCAACCCCAUCCUAUUUGUGUGGCAAACAAAGUAUUGGAAUGAAAAUCAAAAUGAGAAGAAAAAAAAAAAAUGUCACUGCUGCUCAGUUACUAGGUGCUAAGAGACAUCGCUGAUUAAGAUACUAACUGAAAAGCCCAAAAAGAUAAACCUUUUGAAACAGGGAAUGAGACACAUUUGUUCUCCUUUGUAGACAUACACUGAUUAUGCUACAAAAUUUUAACCACUGCAAAUAUAAAAAAAUCACAGCUAAAAUAAUUAAUAAAAAUGGUAACUGACAUACAAAGAAAAUGACAUAAAAGAUUUUCCUCAAAACCAGCUGCUUUUGAUACACAGCAAAAUGAGCACGUGUCACACGACUGAUGUUAGACAAAAGAUAUAUCAACAGGGAUGGAGGAAGAUUUC